rnacentral:rRNA from 1 species
GAUGAACGCUAGCUACAGGCUUAACACAUGCAAGUCGAGGGGUAACGAGAGGAAGGCUUGCUUUCCUUGUCGACGACCGGCGCGCGGGUGAGUAACGCGUAUCCAACCUGCCCCCAACUAGGGAAUAACCUUGCGAAAGUAAGACUAAUACCCUAUAAUUUCCUCAGAUGUCAUCUGACGAGGAAUAAAGAUUUAUCGGUUGGGGAUGGGGAUGCGUCUGAUUAGCUUGUUGGCGGGGUAACGGCCCACCAAGGCAACGAUCAGUAGGGGUUCUGAGAGGAAGGUCCCCCACAUUGGAACUGAGACACGGUCCAAACUCCUACGGGAGGCAGCAGUGAGGAAUAUUGGUCAAUGGGCGGAAGCCUGAACCAGCCAAGUAGCGUGCAGGAUGACGGCCCUAUGGGUUGUAAACUGCUUUUAUACAGGAAGAAAGUUAGCCACGUGUGGUUAUUUGUAGGUACUGUAUGAAUAAGGACCGGCUAAUUCCGUGACAGCAGCCGCCGUAAUAC